rnacentral:rRNA from 1 species
GCGGUAACCUGACCGUGCAAAGGUAGCAUAAUCAGUAGUCUUUUAAUUGAAGGCUUGUAUGAAUGGCUGAACGAGGGAAAAGCUGUUUCUUUUUUAAAGUUUGAACUUAACCUUUAAGUGAAAAGGCUUAAAUUUCUCAAGAAGACGAUAAGACCCUAUAAAUCUUUAUAUUAAUCUAAUAUAGAACAAAUAGUUGUAUGUAAAAUUUUUUCUAUACCAAGAAAAUAUUUUGUUGGGGCGACAAAAAUAGAUCAAAAUCUGUUUUAAAUAUUUACUAAAAUUUUUGAAUUAUCUUUUAGAUCCUUAAUUAAAGAUUAAAAGAUUAAGUUACUUUAGGGAUAACAGCGUUAUUUUGUUGGAGAGAUCUUAUUAAAAACAAAGUUUGCGACCUCGAUGUUGAAUUAAAAUUUCUCUACGGUGCAGCAGCUGUAGAAGAAAGUCUGUUC